CCUGCACAGGAUGUGGGCACACUCAAGGACAGGAAGGCUUUCUGUUCCCUGAAUAUGCAGGUGUGUGCAAUGUCAAGAGUCAGCUCUUCGUUUUCAGGAUCAUUUCAUAUUGCACACGCAGUGCAGUUUUGCUGGAUGUCAGCAGUUUGAAACUUUCCUCACUGACAAAGUUGUGGUAAACACAACAGUAUAUGGACACCUCUGAUGGACAGUUCCUCACCAGCUCUUUCAAGGGGAAUUAUUUAUGUUCUCUAAACCACAUCCAUGAAGCCUCUUACAAAGAAGGGAAACUUUGAUGAGGGUAUUGCAUAUUGCACUUAAAUGUGGCUGAGGAAGGAGUUGGUUUUUUUCCAUAUACAGAAACAUGAACCAAAUAAUGAGAAGUAAGGCAACUGUUGACGGCUCACCAUUUUCCAGAUUGGAUCAUUCUCUGGAGAUAUUCAAGACCUGUCUGGAUGCCUACCUGUGAAACCUGAUGUAGGGAGCCUGGUUCGGCAGGGGGGUUGAACUACACGAUCUCUGCAGGUCCCUUCCAACAAUUCUGAACAAUUCUACAAUUCUGUAAUUCUGUGGUUCUGUGAUCAUCUUUGCAGGAUAUGGUUUGAACACUCUGUAGAAAUAUCUGUAAAGCAGCUAAGUGCAUUCUGGGCUAGAUAUCUGUGUGUCUAAUUUCCUUGCAAUACAGAAAUAAAGGCUUUACAACAUGCUCCAUUACUGUGGUAUGCUAAAUUUGCUUAUGAAUUUUAAGCAUUUGGCCCAGUGAAUUCCAAUUUAAUUUUAACAGUACCAGCACAGACUACAGGAUGAUCUAAACAAAUUAUGUCCCACCAAAGAAUCCAGGCAAGUUACUCAAUUUUAUAGUAAUUGUGUUAAAAGUUUUCUAUUUUUUUUUUUCUUUUUAAUUAACACCAAAUAUCUUUGCAUCCCAGUAGAGUUCUGUCAUUCUCUGUCUGUUUUUAGGUAUGGAGUCAAUCCUGUCCUCAUGGAAUCAAGUCUUAAAUCACUACAAUGGGAACACGGCUGAUUCUGAUUCAUUGUACCCUGUUCCCUGUGUUACAUCUACUCUGAAUGUCUGCACUUCUCUUGUCAAAAUAAUCUCCAAUGGAAUCACUGCAAGCAUUUUUUCUACCUAUAUAUUGUCAUAUACUACUUGCCAGUUUUUCUUCUUUUUUUGUUUUGAUGGAAUACACAAAGAUCAGAACAUAACAGAAGGUGCUGAACAGUAUUUGUCCUUUUAUUCCUACACUGCUCAAAUAUUGUUUCACUAAAACUGGAACUUUUCACUCAUGGGAAAGAUUGAUCAAGAUCAGAGAGUACAUACUGAUAUGACUACAGGUAUUGUCAGUUUCAUGAGUGUAUGAAUUUUAAUUGUGCAUUUUGACAAAUGCAAAUUAAAGAACCUGCUUUUCUCUAUUGACUGUCCUUAGGUUAUUAAGUGGAAAUAAUUGAAUCAUAGAAUCACAGAAUGGCCUGGGUUGAAAAGGACCACAGUGAUCAUCGAGUUUCAACCCCGGCUAUGUGCAGGGUCACCAACCACUAGACCAGGCUGCCUAGAGCCACAUCUGGCCUGUACUUGAAUGCCUCCAGGGAUGGGGCAUCCACAGUCUCCUUGGGGCUCAGCUCUGUCCCUAUCAGAAAAAUGAUGCUUUCAGAAUUUUUACAUUAUUUAUGAGAUAGAGUAUUUUUUCUUUGUUUGUUUCUGUGUUUUUGUUUUUGUUCAAUACUAAUAAGGGCUGUGGCUUUAGGAAAACAUAGUUUCUCUGACACUGCCAUGUGAUCAGAUGGCUUACACUGAGCUAAAUAAAUGGUCUUGAAAAUACAUAUUGUUUGAAAUAAAGGACCUUAUUUUCAAGUACUAUGAAGCACAUGGACAUCUCAUAGAAAAAGAACUAUUAGCUGACGCACUGAGAACAGCUUUAAUCCACUCUCCCUAUGAGCUCUUAUGAGCUCAUGGUUCAAAGGACACUUUCAUGUUUUUAUAUUAAGCGCUUAGAAUUCUUUGUGAGCAAAAACUUUUAUAAGGAUUUUCAGCUUUUAAAAAGAGUCUUUCCAAGAUUUCUGUGAGAUUGCUCAAGCAACAUAUCCAGUCCUCAGAACAAUCCCACAAAAUGAAUAAACUUUGACAUACAAGUGCCUAUCACAUCUUGAAAGCGUUUAGCUUUUGAGAACAUUUUGUAGAAGAGUUUUUUGUUACAUGGAUCUUUCAUCCAUUUUCCCAUCCUCAUCCAGCAGCCAAAAUUAUUAUCAGAGAAACCUGUGCAGACCUCACAAAAUAAAAAUGGAGGUGUUACAGAAGGUGAAAGUUCAGUUCUUCAUGUUUAAGUCAGCAAGAGCACUGAGUUCAAGAGAAAGAUUUACUGAAAUCUUCAGUUAGGAGUAAAGGAAGAAAACCUUAUAGGGCCCGCGAAGCUUGUAUUUCCAAACAAGUGUUAAUAAAUCACAGUUCAUCUCAUUUAAAAUCUGUAUAAAAUAAUUUAGAUAAAAUGCACUUAACAGACAUCAAAGUUCUACCUACUUGCAAUAGAUAACCUGAGGCAGAAGUGUCCAAUAUAAGUAGGGUAGUUUCAGCCUUGUAAAAAUCAUGAAAAUACUUUGCAAAGUUGUUUUGAAAAUGUCUUUUGGCAACCCUGAUGACUCCAGGUAUAUACUGAUGGGAUCACAUUAAUGUCUUUGGCUACCUGAGCUUAUCAUUCCUCACAUUAAUAUUAAUGUAAUCAUUUUGGACUUCUUAAUAGACUUCACAGAGUCUUCACGGUUUGUCUUCACAGAGUCACAGUGUUAUUUAUGUAAGAUCUUUUCCAGAGUCUCAGUUUAGUAAAGAUUGGGACUUACAGUGGUAAGGUCACUGUAAUACUGAGGACAAAAGAGAAACACCUCUGGGAAAAUGUCUGGUGUCUUAUGCUGAAUAAUUUCUCUUAUUGUAUAAAUUUCUUAUGCUUUAUAUUUUCAUACUUGUUUAUACUGUGUGGCUCCUGCUCUCAUUAAAAAAAAAAUAUAUAUAUAUAAAAAUAAAUGCUGUAACAUAUCAAUAUUAUUAUCUGCCCUUCUAUAAAUAAAACAGCC
ensembl:lncRNA